rnacentral:rRNA from 1 species
GUCUGUGGCCAUACCACCCUGAACGUGCCUGAUUUCAUCUGAUCUCAGAAGCUAAGCAAGGUGGGGCCUGGUUAGUACUUGGAUGGGAGACUGACUGGGAAUACCGGGUGUUGUAGGCU